UAUGGCCAUAUCAAUUUGAAACACCUGUUCUCAUACAAUCGUCGAACUUAAGUAACGAUGAUCCUGGCCAGUACUUAGAUAGGUGACCUCUUCGGAAUACCAAGUGCUGUAAG